GGGGGCUGGGGGGCUCAGGGGGGCUCUGGGGGGUCUCCAUGGGGCUCUAUGGGGUCUCUAAGGGGUAUCUAUGGGGCUCUAUGGGGUCACUAUGGGGCUUGUAUGGGGUCUCUAUGGGGUCUGUGGGACUCUAUGAGGUUCUAUGGGGUCUCUGUCGGAUCUCUAUGGGGCGCUAGGGGGCACUAUGGACUUCUGUGAGGUCCUAUGGGGCUCAUUGGGGUCUCUUGGGGUCUCCAUGGGGUCCCAUGGGGCUCAUUAGGGGCUCAUUAGGGGCUCUAUGGGGCUCGGGGAGGCUCUAGGGGGUCUCCAUGGGGUUCUAUGGGGCUCUAUGGGGUCACUAUGGGGCUCUAUGGGGUCACUAUGGGGCUCUAUGGGGUCUCUAUGGGGGCUCUAUGGGGUCUCUAUGGGGCUCUAUGAGGUUCUAUGGGGCUCUAUGGGGUCACUAUGGGGCUCUAUGGGGUCUCUAUGGGGGCUCUAUGGGGCUUGGGGGGGCUCUAGGGGGUCUCCAUGGGGUUCUAUGGGGCUCUAUGGGGUCUCUAUGGGCUCUAUGGGGUCUCUAUGGGGUCUCCAUGGGGUUCUAUGGGUCUCUAUGGGGUCUCUAUGGGUUUCUAUGGGUCUCUAUGGGGUCACUAUGGGGCUCUAUGGGGUCUCUAUGGGUUUCUAUGGGUCUCUAUGGGGUCACUAUGGGGCUCUAUGGGGUCUCUAUGGGGUCUCUUGGGGUCUCUAUGGGGCUCUGGGGGGCUCUAUGGGGUCUCUAUGAGGUUCUAUGGGGUUCUAUGGGGGUCUAUGGGGGCUCUAUGGGGCUCUAUGGGGCUCGGGGGGCCUCUAGGGGGUCUCCAUGGGGUUCUAUGGGGCUCUAUGGGGUCACUGUGGGGCUCUAUGGGGGCUCCAUGGGGUUCUAUGGGGCUCUAUGGGGUCUCUAUGGGGCACGGGGAGGCUCUAGGGGGUCUCCAUGGGGUUCUAUGGGGCUCUAUGGGGCUCUGUGAGGUUCUGUGGGUCUCUAUGGGGUCAUUAUGGGGCUUGGGGGGGGCUCUAGGGGGUCUCCAUGGGGUUCUGUGGGGCUCUAUGGGGUCACUAUGGGUCUCUAUGGGGGCUCUUUGGGGGCUCACUGGGGGCUCACUGGGGUCUCUAUGAGGUUUCUAUGGGUCUCAAUGGGGUCUCCAUGGGGCUAUAUGGGUCGCUAUGGGGGCUCUUGGGGUCCAUAUGGGGUCUCUAUGGGGUCACUAUGGGUUUCUAUGGGUUUCAAUGGGGUCUCUAUGAGGUUCUAUGGGUCUCUAUGGGGUCUCUAUGGGUCUCUAUGGGGUCUCUAUGAGGCUCACUGGGGUCUCUAUGAGGUUCUAUGAGGUCGUUAUGGAGUCACUAUGGGUCUCUAUGGGGUUCUGUGGGUCUCUAUGGGGUCUGUACGGGUCCCAUGGGGUCCUGCGGGUCCCUAUGGGUCCCAAUGGGGUCUGUGGGGUCUCUAUGGGAUCUCUAUCGGUCUCUAUGGGUCUCUAUGGGGUCCCUAUGGGGUCUGUGGGUUUCUAUAGGUUGCUAUGGGGUCUCUGGGUCUCUAUGGGUCUUGAUGGGUCUCUAUGGGUCCCUACGGAUCCCUACGGGUCGCUAUGGGGGUCUAUGGGUCUCUAUGGGGUCUCGAUGGGUCUCUAUGCGUCUCUAUGUGUCUCUAUAGGGUCUCUGGGUUUCUAUGGGUCUCUAUGGGGUCCCUACGGAUCCCUACGGGUCGCUAUGGGGUCUAUGGGGUCUCUAUGGGGUCUAUGGGUCUCUAUGGGUCUCUAUGGGGUCCCUAUGGAUCCCUACGGGUCGCUAUGUGUUCUAUGGGUCUCUAUGGGUCUCUACGGGUCUCUAUGGAUCCCUACGGGUCGCUAUGGGGUCUAUGGGUCUCUAUGGGUCUCUAUGUGGUCUAUGGGUCCCUAUGGAUCCCUACGGGUCGCUAUGGGGUCUAUGGUCUCGAUGGGGUCUCUAUGGGAUCUAUGGGUCUCUAUGGGUCUCUAUGGGUCCCUAUGGAUCCCUACGGGUCCCUAUGGAUCUCUAUGGGUCUCUAUGGGUCCCUACGGGUCUCUACGGGUCCCUAUGGGUCCCUAUGGGUCGCUAUGGGUCUCUAUGGGGUCUCGAUGGGUCUCGAUGGGUCUCUAUGGGGUCUCGAUGGGGUUCUAUGGGGUCCCUAUGGGUCUCUAUGGGUCUCUAUGGGUCGCUAUGGGUCUCUAUGGGGUCUCGAUGGGUCUCGAUGGGUCUCUAUGGGGUCUCUAUGGGUCCCUAUGGGUCCCUAUGGGUCUCUAUGGGUCCCUAUGGGUCUCUACGGGUCUCUACGGUCGCUACGGGUCGCUACGGGGUCCAUGGGUGCGCGCGGGUCCGUCCGUGCGGCGGCGGUGCGCUAUGCGCGGUCUGACGUGUGGCGCAGAGGACCUCCCGUCGCCGCGGCGGCUGCAGGAGGUGGCGGUGCCGCUGAUGGCGCAGGCGCAGUGCCGCCGCCUCUACGGCACCCACAUGGGGACCGCGCUGCCGCCGCGCCGCGUCCGCGACGACAUGAUCUGUGCCGGGUAUCCGCAGGGCAUCAGGGACACGUGCAAGGUUGGGGCCUGUGGGGGGAUGUGGGGUGAUGGGGUCCCUAUGGGGUGAUGGGGUCCCUAUGGGGCUUUGAUCUGUGCCGGGUACCCGCAGGGCAUCAGGGACACGUGCAAGGUCGGGGGGCAAAGGUCAAAGGUCGGGGUUUGGGGAGAUGUGGGGUGAUGGGGAGAUGUGGAGUGAUGGGGUCCCUAUGGGGUGAUAUGGGUCUCUAUGGGGUGAUGGGGUCCCUAUGGGGCUUUGAUCUGUGCCGGGUACCCGCAGGGCAUCAGGGACACGUGCAAGGGUGACUCCGGCGGCCCCCUCGUCUGCCCCUUGUCGGGUCGCUGGGUGCUGGUGGGCGUUGUGAGCUGGGGCGAGGGCUGCGCGGUGCCCAACCGCCCGGGC